rnacentral:rRNA from 1 species
GACGAACGCUGGCGGCGUGCUUAACACAUGCAAGUCGAACGAAGAGCGAUGGAAGCUUGCUUCUAUCCAUCUUAGUGGCGAACGGGUGAGUAACGCGUAAUCAACCCGCCCUUCAGAGGGGGACACCAGUUGGAAACGACGGCUAAUACCGCAUACGAUCUAAUCUCGGCAUCGAGGAUAGAUGAAAGGUGGUCUCUACAUGUAUGCUAUCACUGCAGGAGGGGAUUGCGUCUGGUUGGGUAGUUGGAGGGGUAAAGGCGCCCCAAGGCGGUGAACAGUAGCAGGACGGAGAGGAUGAGCGGCCAGAUUGGGACGGAGACACGGCCCAGACUCAUACGGGAGGCAGCAGUAGGGAAUCGGCCGCAAGGGACGAAAGACUGACGGAGCAACGCCGCGGGAGGGAGGACGGCCGUCGGGUUGGAAAGCUCGGUUAAUGGGGACGAAAGGGCUUCCUGCGAAUAGGGAGAAGGAUUGACGGUACCGGGUAAGAAAGCCACGGCUAACUACGUG